rnacentral:rRNA from 1 species
AUUGAACGCUGGCGGCAGGCCUAACACAUGCAAGUCGAGCGAGCGGCGGACGGGUGAGAAAUGUAUGGGGACUGCCCGAUAGAGGGGGAUAACUACUGGAAACGGUAGCUAAUACCGCAUACAAUCGGCUAACACAUAUGGGAUUAGCUAGUUGGUGAGGUAAUGGCUUACCAAGGCGACGAUCCCUAGCUGGUCUGAGAGGAUGAUCAGCCACACUGGGACUGAGACACGGCCCAGACUCCUACGGAGGCAGCAGUGGGGAAUAUGGCACAAUGGGCGCAAGCCUGAUGCAGCCAUGCCGCGUGUAUGAAGAAGGCCUUAGGGUUGUAAAGCACUUUCAGUCGGGAGGCGUUACCGACAGAAGAAGCACCGGCUAACUCCGUGCCAGCCGCCGCGGUAAUUC